rnacentral:rRNA from 1 species
UCGAACGAAUCCCAGGGGCAACUCUGGGGGAAGUGGCGAAAGGGGCAGUAAGGCGUGGCUAACCUACCCCGGGGACGGGGAUAGCCUUCCUAACGGGAGGGUAAUACCUGGCGAUGCGGUUGGGGGGCAUCCCUUGGCCGUGAAACGAGUUUCGCCUCGGGAGGGGGUCACGUGCUAUUACCUGGUUGGCGGGGUAACGGCCCACCAAGGGGAAGAUGGCUAGCGGGUGUGAGAGCACGACCCGCGCCACUGGCACUGAGACACUGGCCAGACUCCUACGGGAGGCUGCAGUCGAGGAUCUUCGGCAAUGGGCGCAAGCCUGACCGAGCGACGCCGCGUGUGCGAUGAAGGCCUUCGGGUUGUAAAGCACUGUCGAGGGGGAGGAAGGCCCGCGAGGGUUUGACCUAUCCCUGGAGGAAGCACGGGCUAAGUUCGUGCCAGCAGCCGCGGUAAGACGAACCGUGCGAACGUUGUUCGGAUUCACUGGGCUUAAAGGGCGCGUAGGCGGCUUGCCAAGUCAGGGGUGAAAUCUUUCGGCUCAACCGGAAAAGUGCUUCUGAUACUGGCGGGCUGGAGGAGGGUAGGGGCAGAUGGAACUUCCGGUGGAGCGGUGAAAUGCGUAGAUAUCGGAAGGAACGCCGGUGGCGAAAGCGAUCUGCUGGACCCUCUCUGACGCUGAGGCGCGAAAGCCAGGGGAGCAAACGGGAUUAGAUACCCCGGUAGUCCUGGCCCUAAACGAUGGGGACUAGGUAGUGGACUUGACAUGGGUUCACUGCCGAAGCAAAAGUGUUAAGUCCCCCGCCUGGGGAGUAUGGUCGCAAGGCUGAAACUCAAAGGAAUUGACGGGGGCUCACACAAGCGGUGGAGCAUGUGGCUUAAUUCGAGGCUACGCGAAGAAC